rnacentral:lncRNA from 10 species
UCACAGGAAGUUGAGGCCCAGAGAGAGGAAGGGGCUGGUUUGAUGUCCCAUAUAGAGAGGUGGCACAGCCAGGGCUGGGUAUCCCAGUCCCGUGUCGUGUCCAGCAUUUUAGUGCAGACUCACAUGCACAUCAAAUGCACAACCAUGCAAUGACAGACAAGCAGCUCCACAGGAGGAGUGCACAACCAGAGGGGAGAGGAGAGAGCCUGGACAGCCUCUGUCCUCACCUCCUCAGUGGCCAUGUGGUGACGGCUGGGUUUUUUAUUUUUUUCUCCCUAGAUGAGCUUCACAUCUCAGGUAACUGGAGAAGUCUUCAGCUUGUCUUGUCCUCUCCACAGGUGGGGUGCCCACUGCUUCAACAGGGGCCAGAACAGUCUGCCCUCUUCCAUAGCUGUAAACCUCUGCUUGGCCCAGCAGGAGUGAGGGUAGAGGGGAGUAGGGCUCAAGGUGCCCUCGCUACCUAGUAGAUGGUAGGAGAGCAUAACCAAAAGCCAAAGAGCUGUUUACAUGACUGGGUUCUCCCUGUGGCCUUCUGAGAUUGCAGGAGAUGGAAAGGGGGAGACCGGAUCCUAGGGGAACCCAAUAUUCAGGUUUUCCUGGGUUCCUGAGAUGCAAGAUUUCCAAUUUUAAGACAUGGGAAGUUGUAGGCAGACUGGGAUGAGUUGGUCACCUGGGUCUUCCAUAGCUCCCAGUCUGAGAAAAUGAGACUCACCCAGUAAUAAGCAGAAGAUUUGGCUGGGUGAGGUGGCUCAUGCCUGUAAUCCCAGCACUUUGGGAGGCCGAGACAGGCAGAUCACAAGGUCAGGAGUUUGAGACCAGCCUGGCCAAGAUGGUGAAACCCCAUCUCUACUAAAGAUAUAAAAAUUAGCCGGGCGUGGUGGUGGGUGCCUGUAGUCCCAGCUACUCGGGAGGCUGAGGCAGGAAAAUCACUUGAACCCGGGAAGCGGAGGUUGCAGUGAGCCGAGAUCGUGCCACUGCACUCCAGCCUGAAGACAGAGCAAGGCUCCAUCUUAAAAAAAAAAAUGCAGAAGAUACUAUGGAAUGGGCCAGGAGAAAAAGGAAGGAUCAGGGAUGGGAGAGACACAGUGAGCCACACAGUAGCUGGCAUUCUGCAUGGUGGGCCUGGGCAGCCUGGCUCUUCAUUUGCAUAUGGGUCUUUCCCACCCCAGUCAAAUCUGCUGGAGCCAAUUCUGCUUCCUUCCAACAAAGAUGCCCAGACACCUGGCGGUAGUGUGUUACUUCCUGCUCCCAGCUCCUCUAACACCCCUGGAGAGCUCCAUGCCCACAGGUCUUACCUUCACCCACUUUCCCAGGCUCUUAGAUCAAACAUCAGGCACAGUGCAGGCAAUGGGGCCAUCCUCCCAAGUCCCAAAAGCCUUCUGUUUCCAGUAGAGAUGGGAGAAGCCUGAACUAAGCAGGUUUCUCACUUCCUUAUGGAGGAAGAAGAGCUAAGAGAGGUGACUGAUUUUAGUACAAAGGGCACAGGGCACAGAAACAUGCAGGAAUACAUUAGCUGCGUGCACUCCAGUGAUACAUAGCCUCUGUAAACCUGUUUCCUUAUCCUGAAAAUGGGGACAUUGUUCCUAUCUUGUGAUUGUAUUAAGGAUCAAAUGAGCAGCUGCUCAACAGAGGUUUCUGGAGAGGUCCUUCUCCACACAGACUUGGGAGGAGAUGCUUGUCCUAGGUCCAAAUCUCAUCCAGGUUUCCCGAUUUUUUCAGGUCUUCUGCUCAACUCAGGUACCAGCUGACACCCACCCAGUCCCUGGUGUUGCCUUCAGGAGCAGUGGCAAGAUGGGAGCUGGUUGGGGAAGGGGAUCCUAGCGCAGGGGGGAGGAGGAGAGAAUGGAAUGGCUGGACUUUGAGAUGAGAAGACAGUUGGAUGGGGAGGAGGCACCAUUUGCUGGAACUGAAGGGUUCUCAGUAGGGGCUCGAGGCAGGAUGUAUCUGUGAUAUCUGGACCUCUGGAGUCCCUUAAGCACAAGGAGGCAAGUGUGUGGCAGUGAAGACAUUCUGCCUUGGGCCCAAGCCCAAGACAGGUCUCCCUGAGCCCUGGGCAGACCAUCCGACCUAUGGUCAUUGGAAGGACCCACCUCCUCCCUAUCCCAGGCCUGUGUAAACGCCAGGAAGGCAGGUCCCUUUCUCCAUGCAGGCCCUGACUGGGGCAGUCAGCACCAUUAAGUUCUUCCUCUCUGAGGCUUUCCUGGGUCAACACUUCGAGGCUGUGUAGUUGGAGGGCAGGGAGCCUGAGCCAGGAGACGUCUUCCUGUUCAGGCUGAUUCCCCCCACCUGACGCUGGUGCGGGGCCCACGUUGGCAUAUACUGUGGCCAUGGAGAGAUCAUCCACUUUGAGGGUGAGUGCCUCCAGCAGAAACACAGGCCCAAGUCUGCGGAGAGGCUGCCCAGCCAAGCCACGCCCCACCAGUGAGCUGGCUACUCGGGGAUAAAGACUGAAGUCCCAGGCUGGGGGUGUCAAUGGACGUGGACGUGUCCCCGGAUUAAGCAUGACCUUGGCCCUCCUGGGUGGACGUGGAGGCUUCAGAAAGAUUCAUUAAACUACUUUCCAAAGCUU